GUACUACUGAAGAGUCCCAAGCUAGGACAAAACAGAUGUCCAGUAC
rnacentral:hammerhead_ribozyme from 1 species